UGGACCUGUGAGCUACAAUGAAGCCUUUCUCUCCCAGCUUGUUUUCAUCAGGGUGUUUUUGUCCUGUCUCAAAACACUUCGCUGAGCAAAUACAAAGUAGGUUUUCAAAGAGGUAAUGGCUUUGUAGGUUGUUUACCUCUGGCCUCAAGUCAAGGAAGACAAGAUGGGUCCUGAGAUCUUAAUCUCAGGAAUACUUUCUGGCAUAGCUGUUUCAAGAAGCGAUGGUCCGCACAACACCAAGUCCUGCUGUCUUUUCGAGGGGCACACUUUCCACUCUGGGAGAUGCUGGCACAGAGGCAGGCCGAUGGUACGAUGGUACCACCCACCUCCCUCGUUCAGCAUCCAGUCACCCCAUCUGGGGACCCCGAAGGAGGAAGCACCUGCUCGCCCUGACUUGAAUCUGCAGAUUGCUCGCCAUCCAAAAUGAGUCACGGAGGCACUGUGCAGCGGAUUUAACUCACCCCCCAGGAAUGGACUCUUGGAAGGCUCCCGAGUGACUAGUUUCAAGUGUUCUGUCUCAGGCACAGGGCAUUUCAUCCCUCUGUGUCUGCAGUCACUUCCCCUCUGGGUGCUUUCUGUUUCUGGGAGCAGGCAGCCUGCCAGGCAGGGCUCAGCCUCGGAGCAGACGGGCGGAGACAUCCUUCCUCUUAUUUCUAGAGCUGAAUCCCAUCUUCCUUCCCUGUCAGAGAUAUCUAUCGCGGCCCUCCGCCCUUCCCAGGCCCCUGCACCCAUCGUGGGAGAGCACAGAGGAACGGAUUUUCAUCUGCAACUCUGACCUUUGGCAGGCGCUUAGCAACCGUUAUUGAUCACUGGCUUCUUGGGCACAGGUCAUCAGGAAAAGAUCUAGGGCAAGGGUCCAUUCAUUCACUGACUUAAUAAAUAUUUGUUGAAUGCCUACUAUGUGCCAGGUCCUGUUCAAGAUGCUGGGCUGUGGCAGUAAACAAAGCCUAGACACCAAUGUCCUCGUAGCAAGUGUGUUCCCCUGGGAGGGGACAAUUGGGAAUCUAAACAGAAAUAUAAAACAUUCUAAUGUGCAAGACAGUGACAAAUGCUAAGUUGAGAGAACAAAGCCGGGAAUUCUGGGUAUGAGGGAAGUGUAAAUUAUUAAAUGGGGUGGCUGGGGAACUUUUGCUGCAAAGGGACUUUUGAGCAAACAUUUGGAGGAGG